GAUGAACGCUGACCGAAUGCUUAACACAUGCAAGUCUACUUGAACCUCGGUUUGGGUGGCGGACGGGUGAGUAACGCGUAAAGAAUUUGCCUCACAGUUAGGGACAACAUUUGGAAACGAAUGCUAAUACCUGAUAUUAUGAUAUUAGGGCAUCCUAGGAUUAUGAAAGCUAUCUGUGCUGUGAGAGAGCUUUGCGUCCCAUUAGCUAGUUGGAGAGGUAAAGGCUCACCACGGCGACGAUCGGUAGCCGGCAUGUGAGGAUGAUCAGCCACAAUGGGACUGAGACACGGCCCAGACUACUACGGGAGGCAGCAGUGCGGAAUUUUGGACAAUGGGCGCAAGUCUUGUCCAGCAAUGCCGAGUGAAGGAUGAAGGACUUAGGGGUGUAAAAUGCUUUUGUACGGAAAGAAAAGCCUUCUUUUAAUACAGGAGGGUCAUGACGGUACCGGAAGAAUAAGCACCGGCUAACUACGUG
rnacentral:rRNA from 1 species